AUAUUUACCUGGCAGGGGAGAUACCAUGAUCACAAAGGUGGUUUCCCCAGGGCGAGGCCCACCCAUUGCACUCUGGGUGUGCUGACUCGUGCGAUUUCCCCAAAUGCAAGAAACUCGACUGCAAAAUUUGUGGUAGUGGGAGACUGCAUUCGCGCUCUCCCCUG